UAUGAGACACAUGAACCUUUUCUGCACUACCCUGAUAUGAAUGAAAUAUGUGGUGUUAAUGUAGAUGUGCUUCUGUGUGUUUUAAACGAGCUUGUCUUCCUGCCGUCACUAAAUAUAUUCCAGCAUUUCGCUAGUUGUAAAAUAUUUAUUGUGGUAUAGAAACGAAAGAUCACAUAGAAGAUCAACUUUUGGAGGCACACAUGAGGAUGCACCAAGAUGUUCAUGACCCUAAUAUUGUAUCCCAGUUGUUUGGUAUUCACCAAUUAGAGCCAUUGGGGAAGCAUGAUGCUAUAUGUUCAAUAUGCAAUUUGAAUCCAUCCACCUUUCUACCAGUAGGCUUUUUAUACUAUAUCUUGACCUGCUCUUUAUUUGCCUGUUUUAUCCUUUCUUUUUAUUAGUCAGUUGUUUCAUUGUGCAAGGGUGAACAAGCUUUAACUGUUAGCUCAGGCAAGGACUUCAGCAAAGGACCAUUUAAGAGAUCCCUCGUUUAGAACAGGAAGUAUUAGUUCCACCCUGGCCAUCGCCACUGAGAAUGAUUUGUUUUGAUGUGUUGCCUGAAUUUCUUUUCAAAUAUUUCAGAUCCUACUCUCAGUCAACAUUAUCAGAACAUUUUUACAUCCACCAAAAACCCAGCUUUAACAUAACAUAUAUUAGCACAUUUAUUAUUUGUUCAUGGAGCAUAGUCUCACACGAAGACAACUUUUACAGCCAGGUUUGCGUGGACAGGGACUGAGGCUUAUUUCAUUCUACAGUAUAAGUCCUCUCCAAGUCAUGAGUACAACAGGUCAAGCCUUUCUGCACAGUGCCCCCCCAUCACUGAUGCUGGGUCAGAUCACGGAUGCAGUUUAAAACAUGCAUAACAAACAUCUUAUUGACAAUGUUGAAGCAUUCUAAUACAAAUAAUAACAAUGAUAUGAAUAAUAUUUCUUGCAAUACAUCAAACUGCUUCUAUGUACUGUACUUAGCAGCAUGCAUUUUGUGAAACAAAGAAGAUAUACAUAUAUAUAUAUAUAUAUAUAUAUAAUAUAUAUAUAUGUAUACAAAUAUAUAUACAUAUAUAUAUAUGUAUAUGCCGACAAAUGUUUGGCACUCUAGCAAUUUAUGGGUAAAUGAUAAGUGUUCAUCCAUCUUGUUUUUAUGAAUUUUUUUAUCUCUACAAUAAUUGUAAAUAAAGAACUUAAUGUCUUUGUUCAUUUAAUACUAUGCAAAAGUCAUGCUUUCUGAUUGUUACCAAACCUAAUCCCUUGAGUGUGUUGCUGGAAUGUUUGUGGUCUCAAAAAAGUCGGUAAACAAUGUGAUGUACAUGAUUUUUUUUUUUAGCUUGACAACAAGAAAAAGCAAUGAACUGUGACUCUUGCUGCCCAUCUGUCCCUAACACACCUCCAGACAGGAGCGCAAGUGAAAAAAAAAACACAAAAACAACACUAAAUAAAUUCCCAGAGCAGCAUGAACCUGAAUGGUGUCCCAUGACCGGUGUGGCCUGUGUCUGUGUGAUGUUUGCAUUUCCUGGGCCCAGGAACACUCCCUGUGUGCACUGUUUGUGUCUAUCUGUCAGUCUGUCUGUGUGUGUGUGUGUGUCUGU
ensembl:lncRNA